rnacentral:misc_RNA from 1 species
CCUCCUUAAAAUAAAAAUCGUCUGAGGUAGGCGUUCACACGAAUUAUUUGUUUUACCCAAAUUAGUUUUUUACUAAGAGUACGGUGAGUUUUUUAACAUUUUUAUAAGUUCAAUCAAGUCGCAUUAAUUAAAUCAUUUAUGUGGUUUAAAUUAAUGUGCAAAUGUCACCAAAUCCGUCGUGUUUUUAUAAAUACAUUUAUUUGGUGAACAUACUGCAAAGUAAUUUUGGCGUUAUGUAAUAUAGAUAUACUUGAAAGAUCUUUAUAUCAGGCAUUAAAUUGCUUGAUGUAAUAUGGUCAAGUAACUAAGCGCAUACGGUGGAUGCCUUGGCAGCUAGAGGCGAUGAAGGACGUAGUAACUUGCGAUAAGCUUCGGGGAGCCGGUAAACAGGCUUUGAUCCGGAGAUUUCCGAAUGGGA